UACGAAGGGGGCGAGCGUUGUUCGGAUUUACUGGGCGUAAAGGGCGCGCAGGCGGCCAUUCAAGUCAGGCGUGAAAGCCCCGGGCUCAACCUGGGAAUUGCGCUUGAUACUGCGGCGCUGGAAGGUGGGAGAGGAUGGCGGAAUUCCCAGUGUAGAGGUGAAAUUCGUAGAUAUUGGGAAGAACACCGGUGGCGAAGGCGGCCAUCUGGCCCACAUUUGACGCUGAGGCGCGAAAGCGUGGGGAGCAAACAGG
rnacentral:rRNA from 1 species